UACGUAGGGUGCAAGCGUUCAUCGGAAUUACUGGGCGUAAAGGGUGCGCAGGCGGUUGAUUAAGUCAGAUGUGAAAUCCCCGGGCUCAACCUGGGAAUGGCAUUUGAGACUGAUUAGCUAGAGUGUGUCAGAGGGGGGUAGAAUUCCACGUGUAGCAGUGAAAUGCGUAGAGAUGUGGAGGAACACCGAUGGCGAAGGCAGCCCCCUGGGAUAACACUGACGCUCAGGCACGAAAGCGUGGGGAGCAAACAGG
rnacentral:rRNA from 1 species